rnacentral:lncRNA from 1 species
GGAAGGACUAGUGCUAAUGGGCCAUGAAGUGUGGGGUGUUGGAAGCAAAACGCAGGGCCCAUGAUCCACAACCAAAUAAGCCAGCAUGUGACAAAAUGAAAUAACAAUUUGUUUUAAAAAAUCAUGUGACAUAUGUAUCAAUUGGUCAUGUUGUUUUAAGUGACUAGAAGACAAAAACGCAUGGGCGGUCCAGAUUAAAAGAUGAGAAAGGGAUCUAACGGUUAUUCAAGCGCCACAUCAUCGUCUUCUUCA